rnacentral:snRNA from 1 species
AUUGAUUCUCGGCCUUUUGGCAGAGAUGAAGUAUAGCAUCUGUUUUCAGUUUCGUAUCUGCUACGUCUUCUAUCCGAGGGCCAUAUAGCAAAUGAGGUUUUGGAGCAGGGAAGCUGAUGCAGCACCUCCAGGAAUGCCACACCCUCCCCUGCCAAGAAAAGACUUCACAUGCCACUUUACAGACACUAUUCACAGUGU